UGGGGAAUCUUAGACAAUGGGGGAAACCCUGGAUCUAGCCAUGCCGCGUGAGCGAUGAAGGCCUUAGGGUUGUAAAGCUCUUUUCAGCUGGGAAGAUAAUGACGGUACCAGCAGAAGAAGCCCCGGCUAACUCCGUGCCAGCAGCCGCGGUAAUACGGAGGGGGCUAGCGUUGUUCGGAAUUACUGGGCGUAAAGCGCACGUAGGCGGAUUAGUCAGUCAGAGGUGAAAUCCCAGGGCUCAACCCUGGAACUGCCUUUGAUACUGCUAGUCUUGAGGUCGAGAGAGGUGAGUGGAAUUCCGAGUGUAGAGGUGAAAUUCGUAGAUAUUCGGAGGAACACCAGUGGCGAAGGCGGCUCACUGGCUCGAUACUGACGCUGAGGUGCGAAAGCGUGGGGAGCAAAACAGGAUUAGAUACCCUGGUAGUCCACGCCGUAAACGAUGAUGCCAG
rnacentral:rRNA from 1 species